rnacentral:rRNA from 1 species
UACGUAGGGGGCAAGCGUUGUCCGGAAUCAUUGGGCGUAAAGAGCGUGUAGGCGGCCCGAUAAGUCCGCUGUGAAAGUCCAGGGCUCAACCCUGGAAUGCCGGUGGAUACUGUCGGGCUAGAGUACGGAAGAGGCGAGUGGAAUUCCUGGUGUAGCGGUGGAAUGCGCAGAUAUCAGGAGGAACACCAAUAGCGAAGGCAGCUCGCUGGGACGGUACUGACGCUAAGGCGCGAAAGCGUGGGGAGCGAACAGG